rnacentral:rRNA from 1 species
CGUAAAGCGCACGCAGGCGGUCUGUCAAGUCGGAUGUGAAAUCCCCGGGCUCAACCUGGGAACUGCAUUCGAAACUGGCAGGCUAGAGUCUUGUAGAGGGGGGUAGAAUUCCAGGUGUAGCGGUGAAAUGCGUAGAGAUCUGGAGGAAUACCGGUGGCGAAGGCGGCCCCCUGGACAAAGACUGACGCUCAGGUGCGAAAGCGUGGGGAGCAAACAGGAUUAGAUACCCUGGUAGUCCACGCCGUAAACGAUGUCGACUUGGAGGUUGUGCCCUUGAGGCGUGGCUUCCGGAGCUAACGCGUUAAGUCGACCGCCUGGGGAGUACGGCCGCAAGGUUAAAACUCAAAUGAAUUGACGGGGGCCCGCACAAGCGGUGGAGCAUGUGGUUUAAUUCGAUGCAACGCGAAGAACCUUACCUACUCUUGACAUCCAGA